AUGUGUCUUAUUGAUGAUGAUAUUUGUCAGGAUGAUGCCGAAGCCAGCCACGCGGAUGUUGCAGAGGUAAUUAUUCUCUUUUCCGAUUCAGAAACUUUGCCUUCACAAAAAAUCCGCCAGACAAACCGGAAAGUUAAAUUUUCUCAUCCUCUUGCUUAUUUGGAUCCUAAAUUUCUUAUGAAGACCCAACAACACGAAGCUCGUCGCACAACCCGACACAGCAGCCAGGUAGUUACCUCCGCUGGUUUACCGAAUAGUCCGGUUCGGAAACACCAUUCAGAGGCCUCUAAUUUGCUUGUUAGUGCUUGUCCUAAAGCGGGCUGCUUUCGUCAACCUCUUAAUCCGUCUGACUUCGAUUAUCAGGUUACUUCCCACUCAUCUUCUGGCGAGUCCUCGGCUACUCAGCUCCCACCGCUUAAAAUGGUGCUUGGGGCCAAACCUAGGCCAAGCAAGAAAGCCCGCCUGGACAAAGCGGCCGAAGAAGAUGUCGUUCUUGAAGCAGACAAGACACCCAAUGCUGAAACAGCUAUUCCUGAGGAUAUUCCCAACGAUCCACCACAGCAAGAUGAUGAUCUUAUUGUUGAAGAGAGACCUAUUGAUACCUCAGGUCCUAUCCAUCAGCCCACAGUUUCCAUCCGGAUUGAAAGCUCCACCGGUCCAGCAAAACCUACUGACAAGCCAAUAGCUCCAGUGCAAACCGGCGGUACCAAGGAUGAUGAGGUUGUCAUUACUGACACUGGCCAUACUGAGCCAAGCAAUCCUGUCGCUUUAUCCAAACAUUCUGCCAAGGAAGAAUUUGCUGCCUUUGGCAAAGGCAAGUGGAACGCUGAUCUGACGACUUACGCUGCUCUGAAGGCCCAAGAUAUCCAUUCCGGCUAUCUGAACCGGCUGUAUACCAGCCGUGACUACGAAGCCGGUCUGGUUAAUAUGAUGAAAGAUAAAUAUGAGGCGGAGCUGAAGACGAAAGAAAACCAAGUCAUCGAUCUUCAAGAAAACCUGAAAACCCAACAGGCUGAAACCUCCAAAGCGAAAGAGGAAUUGGCCAGUGCUUUAAGCGCCAUGGAACAACUUAAGGAGAACUUCAAGAAGAAACGGGCGGAUUGGGCCACUGAAAAGUCCGCUUUGAUCAAACGAGCAGAGGAUGCCGAGGCUGCACUAAAACCAGUGACGGAUGAACUGACCAGCAUAAAGCGGCACGUUCAUGCUAUGACCAUUGCUAUCUUUGGGCCACGCAUUGGUCACUUGGGGUCAGAUGUGCGGAAGAAAAUGAAAGCCGCCUAUACAUUGAUUGAACAAUUGUAUACUGGUGCCCAGCGGAUCAUCUGUACCGCGUCUCAUAACAAACCGGCGCCCACUUUAAUUCAAGAUACUUUGAUGAAACUGUCAGUGCUUCCUGCCCGGGUUGAAGAGCUGAAGAAAUCUGCUGCUCGAACCGGUGCAAUCAAUGCCUUAAUCCGGGCAAAAGCCUGGGUGCCGGAUUUUGAUCCUAUUGAAGCGGCUCAGGGCUAUCCCAGCUUGAAGGAAGACGGGUCAGAAUUUGGUGAAGCGGAUCUGCGAGCAAUAAACCGGGAGGUACGUCCACUAGCUUGUCAGUUGGCUGAAGAAGCAGACUUGUCUCAUUAUCAAGCGCAAUAUGACAGUCAGAACAAGCGAAUAGCUGCACCCAUCCAUGAAUCGGAAAAUCUGAUCCCUCCAAUCCGUAAGCAUACUUACACUCCCGAUAUUAACCCGUCAUUGAUGAAGCUGUUUUUCAAGCAUUAA
rnacentral:rRNA from 1 species